UAUUAAAAAUUUCAAUAUGGCGCUUCUGUUUUUUUGUUUUCCCUCUCCAUUUUUUUUCCUCGACAUUGCUCACCCAAAACCCUUUGGGCUUUGAGACGCUAUCUUUGUAAUCCUGCCUCUGACUUGUUCGUCUUUCGCCAUCCUCGUCGUUGUUAUUUUUCAUCAUCGUUCUUGAAGCAGCAAGAAGAUAGUGCAGGUCGUUUCAUCAUUGUUUCCCCCUCGUUUCGUUGUUAUCGUUUCAUCAUUAGUAGAGUGAUUGGGUACUUGCUGCAGUGAGUCUCUUCCAGGUGAAAAAAAUUUCUAAUUUCCUUGAUUCGCGAAUAUAAAUUUAGACUUUUCUGAAUACAGGAUUUAUGUUGACUGGAGAUUGAUGAAUUCAACUUGGUUAUUGUGGCGAAAUUAGCGAAAUUCAGUUCUGAAUUGGCGAGAAGAACAACGUGAGUUGGUGCUAUAAAGAAAGGUUGUGGGCCGACUAAUAUGUUUGAUAUCCAUGCUCGCAAAUUGGAAGACCGUGUUGCUAUCUAUUGUGAUGACAAAGGACAACCUAUUAGUCCAGAAAAAGCUAGGAAAGAGCUUACUCGAUUCUUAAGAACUAUUGCUCAUGACUACAAUUGGGCCCCUUUAACUUAUACAAAUUGGCAAAAAGUUCCAAAUAAGGACAAAAUAUGAGAUUAUGUGAAAGUGAGUAUUAUUUGUUUUAUGUUUUACCUAGAUUUUAUUUAUUUUUUAUCAAUACAUAACCAACUUUUUAUUUCGAGCAAGUACAUCCUUCCACCUGAAUCUGAAGAGUGGGUAUAUGAAACCCUUGAUCAAUCCUGGAGAAGAUUCAAAUGUAGGCUUGAAAAGCUACAUUAUUAUGCAUAUGAUAGCUAUGAAGAGAGAUUGAAACAUCCGCCAGAGAGAGUACUUGAGGCACAUUUCAAAACACUUCUAGCUUAUUGGGAGACUAAUGCAGCAAAGCAAGCCAUGCGGGAACUGGAGGCAUUACAAGAUGAUCAGAAUAGUGAAUCUCAUAAGGAUUCAUUUGAUGAAGUGAUGGGAAAUGCACCAGGUUCAAAACGAUUACAUGGACUAAGUGUUUCCCGUAAGAUGCAAAAAGAUAAAGAAUCAAGUACAUCUGUAAUAUUGCCAGAGGAGGUCAUUGACUCUGUCAAAAAAAGCUGUAAUUGCAGACGUGCAAAAAGAUUUGAUCACUCAAAGAGAGGAAUUUGCAAAGGAAAGAGAAGCUCAUGCUGCUGAAAUGGAAAGAGUAUCAAAGGAAUUUAAGUCUCAAGCCUCAAAAUUACAAAAUAUGAGCAAGGAACCUGAAGCACCUGAAACUCUUAAUUCAAUUGCUGCUUCACUUGGGCGACUACGGAAAAAAGACCCUAGCUUGACUGCAGAAAUGAUUGUCAUAGUAUUGGUAUCUACACUUUCAAGUGAUGCAUAAAUAAUUUUGAGAUACCACUCUCUUUAUUAGUCAUGGAUGCAUAUAGGAUGAUAGAUAGAAGGAGAAAGGUAGAUACAAGGAUGGUAGGAAAGGCAUAGAUUGAAGUUCUUCUGGACGGAUUUUAGACAACUAAAUUAAAUACUAUAUAGGUUUUGGAUUGUUUGAACUAUUAGUUCUUUUUGGAGAUUCAUUAGGGUUUAAAAUUGAUAUAUUUAUAUUAUAACAAUGGAAUCUGUUAUUAGAAUGAUUGUUAUGGAUAUUUCAUUUUAAUAUUAAGAAAAACAUAAUUUGAAAUAAAUGUUUCAUUUUUGUA